GCAAGCGUUGUCCGGAAUCAUUGGGCGUAAAGCGCGUGUAGGCGGCUCGGUAAGUCUGCUGUGAAAGUCCAGGGCUCAACCCUGGGAUGCCGGUGGAUACUGUCGAGCUCGAGUCCGGAAGAGGCGAGUGGAAUUCCUGGUGUAGCGGUGAAAUGCGCAGAUAUCAGGAGGAACACCAAUGGCGAAGGCAGCUCGCUGGGACGUGACUGACGCUGAGACGCGAAAGCGUGGGGAGCAAACAGG
rnacentral:rRNA from 1 species